rnacentral:rRNA from 1 species
GGCGUCAACAUAACUGAUUCAAAGUGGGUUUUAAAAGUCGAGAGACAUGCUGAUGGUUCUAUAGAACGCUACAAGGCGAGGCUAGCCGCCAAGAGUUUCAAACAAAGGUAUGGUCUUGAUUAUGAAGACACGUUCAGUCCAGUUAUCAAGCCUACUACCAUUCGUUUGCUGUUGUCACUUGCUGUUACUCGCGGAUGGUUUCUUCGUCAGCUCGAUGUGCAGAACGCUUUCCUACAUGGCAUUAUGGAGGAGGAGGUCUAUAUGCGUCAGCCGCCUGGUUUUGUUGAUCCUACACGUCCUCAUCAUCUCUGUCGUCUGGUUAAGGCACUGUAUGGACUCAAACGGGCUCCUCGUGCGUGGCAUGCCCGCCUCGGCUCUGUUCUCCAUGCUCUUGGUUUUACUCCCUCCACUGCUGACACAUCUCUAUUUCUCCUUCAACAUCCUGAGGUUGCGAUGUAUCUAUUGAUUAUGUUGAUGAUAUCAUCCUCAUCAGUUCCUCCGAUGUUGCUGCUGAUCGUCUUGUGUCUGCCUUGA